UGGAGAUAGAUCCAUGUGUUGACCUAGCACAAUAUCAGCAAAGCUGGCUGAGCUUGUGUAACCAAGCUGGGCUUGGCUUGUGUUGAACCUUAGAAAAUCCACUAUUCAGGAAAUAUUUUGUCUCAUGUUUAACCCAUUCCUUUUGUAACACACGAGCUAAGCAGAAGAAUAUUAAGCAAUGGGAGGAGGAGGGUAUAGAGAAGGGGUCGCUACUGAAGCAACAAAUGGAGCCAGAAGGAUUAAGGUCAAGCACAGCAUACUGUGGACCACAAUACACUUUGAACAUCAGGACUGUACUGAUGGAACUGAACCCCAA
rnacentral:lncRNA from 1 species